CGACAUUAUAAACUUACCGAGCUUCGUUAACUCCGCUAUAGGCUCACCGUCUCUACCAACGCGGGGUUUUGCAUCAGUCUUGAUUCGAGAAAAAUCACCGCUACUUAAGACAACAUGGAUUGGAAGCUGUGCUUUAACAUCAUCUUCUACUAUUUCAACUCCUCCCAAAUGUGGAUACUUCUUGAUCACUUCUUCAUAACAUGGGUUAUCAACGAAUAGUAGCUCUUGCUUUUUUAUCUUUGUCAAAUUCACGGACAUUCGAAAGUCCCCAGUAACUGCUUCAACAACUGCUUCAUAAGUCUCCAACAAUGCUUCCUGAGAGUCCAUCAGCAUAUCAACUCGUUUCCUCGCUACUUCAACUGGUUUCUUUUCCAGCAGAUUAAUUAGUUUUGCAGAAGCAUAGGAGCUCCCUGCUCCGGAGUCGAUCAGAGCUCUGCAUUCAACGCCAUCCACUUUCAUUCUAACAACAGGAAAGAUUCCUUCCGGAUUCACCUCACAUGAAAUUAGCAAUUUCUUCCCCUUCACUCCACUCUUGGAAUCAUUAUCACAAAUUGAGGUGUGGUGACGCCGCCCACAUUUUUGACAUUUUGACUGACUUGGGCAAUCAGUCGCAUGGUGUGAUGAACCAGUGCAGUUAUAACACAGAUGUUGUUUGGUAAGAAUCAACCGUCUUUCAGACACAGAUGAUACUUUUGGGCACUCUGCUGAUUUGUGUGAUUUCUCAGUACAAUAGACACACCCCUUGUGAGUAAAAUCUUGACGUCGGACAUUAAGCAGCUUCCCUGAAAGAAGCUUCUCAACUGGGUUUCGCCGAGUCCAGAGUCUCACCGCAUCAGACAGUUUUACAAAGUCCCAGGAUUCCCAAGCAUCAUCUGUUCGAACAAGGUCGCCACGUAUUCCAGGUAGUUUGUCUAGUGUCAUCGAUACAUACCCAUUGACUUGAGAAAGUUUGUCAAGUGUUUCCAAAGACUGCACCGCAUAUGAUAAUCUAUCAGAGAACGCAUGAAUUCGCUUCACAUUGCCAUCCGGGAUUUUGGACAAAUCAAAAAUCUGCUUGGUAUAAGCCUUUAUUAUUUCUGAUUGUUUCCCAUAUCUGUCUUGAAGGAUACUCUUUGCUCUAUUAUAACCUUCACUUGUAAAAGGUAGUGAUUCCACAGAUUUCCUGAUUUUAGGUUCCAACAACUCUUGUAAAUAUGC